UACACAUAUCCAGCUUUUCAGGAAGGUAUUAUGGGCAGAAAUCUAAUCUCAUUGGAACCGUUAAUCAGGUCUGCAAAAUCAAGCCAAUAUCUUACUUGCAGCAAAAUUCUUUACUUUCACACUAGAUAUUCAAACGGGCAUAUCUUGAGUUUCAGAUAUCGAUAUCAAGAAAUUCAAAAGCCCAGAUUCAUCUAAACAUCAAGGGAUAUAACUUUUAUAAAGGGCUCCAGGUUAGAUAAAAUUAUUUUCAAGAUGAAAAUCUUGAUGCAAGCCGGAUGACGAGUUUUGUCUCCUAAUCUAAUGGGAAACUAACAAGAUGGGAAUCCUGUCGUUUAAAGAAAAUCUAAUAGGAUCAUAUAGAUAUUGUCUAUAGCCUUCUAAUUGUCAAUUUCGAUUCAAGGGGAAUAAACACCUUCUUCAUUAUCAAGUUGUGAGAAGUAACAUUAUCAUUGUAAUUCUUUGAGACACAAGUACUUAUUUUUUCUUAUUUCAAAAUUAUGCUAUUGAUUUCCGCUCAACACAAUUGAAUUGUUUUGAGAUGACAUGUAUGCUUUCUAGUUUCUUUCAAUCCGUAAUUAUUGUUAGAGACUGGAUUUAGAAGCAAAAGAAUUAAUUUGAUUGUUGCAGCUCUCAUCUUAAUUUAUCAGGGAAGAAUAAGUUAAGUUAAAUUGUCAAGCUUUUAAAUGGUUGCUUAGUAUAAAUUUGAUAGACUUCGCUCUUAAGGUUACUUUUGAAAUAAUAAGAAUUGAUUUUCAAUAUUAAAUUUUUUGAUGGUAAGAAAUUGAUUAGAAAGCUUUGUCUAAUUAAUUUACUAAUAGUCUCCUCGAUUCCACUUAGCUUUAAGAGAUAUCAAAUUUAUUUGCAUGACUUGAAAGAACAUUUACUUUUAUUUUGAUGAUCAACAAAUUUAUAAGAACGAAUGUAUGGACCUUUUGAAUUGAGUUAACAACAUAUCAAUUUUUCAAUUUUAUUUCUAGAAUUUCAUUUCUUUAAUUAUUCAAAUCCCCUCAUUUUAUUUAUUUUAGUUUCUUGUAGGAAGAUUAAACAAAAUUUUCCAAAUAAAAACAUGCAAAGUGUGUGAGAUAUUUGUUUUCGGAAGUUAGUUGAAUGAAUAUUAUAAGAUGGUUGAAUAUAACCAUAAAAUUUGAAAUUUGAGAAUUUUUAGAUCAUUGUGAAAAAUCUUGCAAUGACUAUUAUAUGUACCGAUCAUUUUUAUAAAAAUAACGAUUGACUAAUAAACCCAAGAUUCUAACCUUAGGCUUUGUCUUUCGGAUAUUGAUUAAUAAAGAAAAAUAAAAAUAAAAAUAAAAUUGUCCUUGUAUUAAUUGUUCCUAUCAAUUGAUUAAUUAAUCCAAGAUAGAAUGGUCUUAUACCAGGUCCUGUCUUUCAGGUGUCGUUUAUCGAGUAACAGGAUCAAUUAAUAUUUGAUCGAUGAAUUAAUUGUUUCUAUCAAUUACUAAUUGACUCAUGAUGAUAUGAUCUAAUAUUGGGCUAUGUUCUCUUGGUGUCGAUAAGUGAAUAAUAGUACCAAUUAAUACAUGAUUUCUAGGAUAUUAACCAAUAAAAUUAAGUAGCCCAAGAUGGAAUGGUUCAAUAGGGGCCUAUUCUUUGGAUGCUAUGUAAUGAAUAAUAUGAAUUUAAUUUUCAACCUGCAAUAAGCCUCAUAUAUAGAUGUGCUCAUCAUUUCCAAAUAAUCGCGGAUUGAAAGGUCAAUAGUAUAACUUGUUCUUUAAAUCUUGUUUAAUAAAUAAUAAGAACAAUACAUCGAAUAACAUAUAUAACAGUUUAGGUGAACCACAAGAAAACACAUUUAUCAUUGAAAACAAACAACAAUGCAGCCUACCUUAAUUAUGAUGUAUAGAGUUAUGUCUAUCUUACCUAUUACAUAACCAACUCCUUACCAAAACCUCUAAAGACCUGUUAGGGUUUCUAGUUACCAUAAAUCUAGGUAGUGACUCAUUUUUCUUGUUUUACCUUUUUUUCACAUAGCUCGCCCCGAUGUCCACAUGCAAUACAAAUUUGACCAAGUGAACCGGGUUGCAAGUUGACCUUUUAAGUCACUCGGGUUUGACUGGAUCAUUGUCCACUUCUGUUUAGAAGAAAAUCAAACCAAAACAAGGUUUUGGGUUAGCAAAUCACGAACGCAUCCUGUUGGACUAGACCAAGUUUAAUGACUAUGACUUACAUAACCUCUCAUAGAAAUUGCACUUGGAUCUAAGUUUUUUGAGGUAAAAAAAAUUAUAAAAAUAGCACAAUUAAUUAGUUGCAUUGUUAGUAACGACUCAACCAUAUAAAUUACAUUACUCUCAACAAUACAAUUCAAUAUGUUACACUAUUAAGAAUAUCAGAAACCUAUUGAAAUAUAUAUUUUUUAUUUUAAUUUAGAAUUUUAAAUAAUUUUUUUCCUCUGCAAAUCAAAAUAACUAAUUUAUUGAUGUCAUUUUAUUCUCAAUAAUUAUGAUAAUUAUUAAUGAAAAUGAUUGGUUAUAAUCAAUUUAUAUUUCAAUAGGAUUCCUUAACUUAUAAUUAAUUAAUAAUUAUGAUAAUUAUCAAUGAAAAUGAUCGGUUGUGGUCAAUUUAAAUUUCAACAAGAUUUCUUAAUAGGUUAGUUGUAGUCAAAUUAAAUUUCAAAAGAAUUCUUUAACUUAGUAGGUUAAUUAAUAAUUAUCAAUGAAAAUAAUUAGUUGUAGUUGAUAUAAAUUUUCUUAACUUGGUUAAUUAAUAAUAAUCAUAAUUAUCACACCGUGACGAAUGCGAGACUCUUCAAAAUUAAAGGAAAACAAUAAUGAAGUCACCACCUAGUAAUAAAAAAAACUAGGAAUCCUAAAAUAGACACUGGUAAGAGAUUUAGAUAUUGAGUUAGUUAUGCCUAAGGAAAGAUCGAUGUCACCCUUACCGUAUCCUUUCAAACAAAAGGUUACCUCCAUAAUGUUUUUUUCCAAAUUUAUUCUAUGCAUGCUAUUAAUUAUCUAAAUCUAUUUCUAUUUCUAUUUGUGAUUUAUAUUAAUAAAAAAUUGACGUUCCCUAAAAAUAUUAUCCUCCAUAAUUUUUUUCUUGGUGAUGUUCCCUCACAAAUACCAAGAGUUUUAUCCUAAUUCUCAAAGGAUUACAAGAAUGAUUUUACUCACAACAAAACUCUCUCAAAGAGUAGAUAAUACAAUUUAAACUCUAGUAUCUCCAUAGCUCACUUAAUAGAUAGAUGAUUUGAAAGUGUUUAAGUGUAGUGAGUAUAAGAACAAAUACUCUAGUGCUAGAAUAUGAAGGCUCAAUUUAACACAACCUUGGAGUAUGAUAGGAUUGAUGAUUUUUUGUUGGUUUUUUCUUAAAACAACUUUUAUAAUAUGUAUAUUUGGAAUCCUCUUUUACUUUAACUAGAAUGAGAGUUAUUUAAAAGUUUCCAAAACAAACUAGCCAUUUCUAGCCAUUGUAACCCCAUUGAUAGCUAAAGCGAUCGACUGAUUUAGAUUGGGCAAGCCAAUUAGUCGUCUGGUUCCUAUAGAUUCUUAGAUGUUCAUCACGAAUGAACAAGUGGUACACUAGUUCACUUGGUAUUACCAAGUGGUCGACUGGUUCAACUUAAAUACUAGAUUUUGACAAUUUGAACCUGCUGAAUUUUGAACCGAUACUAAUCCUAUAUAUAUGCAGAGUGAUGUGUUUAAGUUCAUUUUAAUUGUGCUAUUAAGUUAAGAUAUAAAGAUUUAUAUAAUCACUAAAAUGAACAAUUAAUUAUUGGAUUCUCAAAUGUUCUUCACUUGCUUCGGUGGCUAGGUUUCAAAGAAAAAGAAGACUAAGAAAUGAACAAUUAAUAAUUAAAAUGAACAAUUAAUUAUUAGAUUCUCGGCCCAACCAGGGUGGGUUCAACCCACAUCAUUAGGCUGGGCCCAACCCAAUAUAUUUUUAUAAUAUAAUAAUAAUAUUAUAUAUUAAACAAAAAGUUCCAAAUUUUUUCAAAAAAACCUUUUAAAAAAUUUGUGAUUUUUUCACGUAUUUUUCUAUCAAUUUUGAUUAAUAUUGGUUUGUAUUUUUAUAUUGUAAAAAUACAAAUCUGGUAUUAAAAUACAUAAUUUUCUUUGAAAUGUUGCAUAUAUAUAUAUAUAUAUAUAUAUAUAUAUAUAAAUUUCAUAUCGUAUUUUCAUGAAAAAUAAAAUUAAAAAAAAAGUGUUAGCAUACAUUUUGAGCUUUAAUAACCAGUUUAUUAAAGUCAUGACAACUAGGCCUAUAUUUUAAAAAUACAAAAAAAAUAUAUUUUGUUUUCUUUUAGUAUCUGAGAUUACAAACUUUUAUUUAUAGACAUUAGAAUGAUUAGGUUUUUACCGAUAUUAAAAAUAUAGUUCUUUUAUAUAUAGAUAUUAGAACGGUUAGGUUUUUACUCGAUAAGAUUAUGAUCUUCUUACUGAGGAGAAUAUUUUUUAAACCUUUGAUAGACCAACAAUUAGAAAACACAACAAUACUCUAGUUAUAUUAGACAAUCAAACCAUGUUAAAAACAGAGUUUACAAUUCCUGUCAUUAUUAGUGUAUGUCAUUGGCAGCUAUUAUUAGUAGUCGGAGGGAGUAGUUGUUGUUGUCCUAGGAUUCAAGCAACAAUACACCUAAAAAGAAAGGUGAAUUAAGUGUUCCACUAAUAAUAACAAAUAUUAAAAUUAAUUCAAUUAAACACAAUUAACGAACAAUAUAAUUAAAUUGCGUAAAGUAGAGAGUAAAGAGAUAGGAAUUGUAAACUCUAUUUUUAACAUGGUUUGACAAGUCUAUAUCCGCAUCUCAAGCACCCAAAUUGGUCUUGUGUAUUUUGUUCUUUCACUAGUCCAAGUUGAAGAUUACAAUUGUCACUUGAUGAAUCCACACCAAGAUUUUACAUUACUUGAAGAUAUAUUUUUUUGACAGUUUGAACCUACUGAAUCUUGAAUCGAUACUAAUCCUAUAUAUAUACAGAGUGAAGUGUUUGAGUUCAUUUUAAUUAUGCUAUUAAAUUAAAAUAUAAAUAUUUACACAAUUACUAAAAUAAUCAGUUAAUUCUUAGAUUCUAAUUUGAUCUUCAUUUGCUUCGGUGGCUAGGUUUUAGAGAAGAAGAAGGCUAUUUUUUAUUUCUACACUUUCACUCCAUUUUUUUUUCUUUCUCUAUCUUAAAUUUUUCUUCAAGGGUUGCUAGGGUUUCUUACCCACUCCUUUUCUUUUCCUUCUAAUUUUUCUAUGGAGGCUAGAGUAUUUUUUAACAAUCAUAUCCUUUGAUUUCUUUGGGUCGAUUUUGACCCUUCAUUGUUGUUGUAUAUUUGGGACAAAAUGCUCGUCUUCUAUAAAGCUCACACCAAAUCUUAAUCAUAAAGAGUGGGGAUGAGAGAGAGAGAAAAGAAGAAGAAGAAGAAGAAAACGGGGCUGAAAAACUUCACUGCCAUUUUUCAAAAUCAGACGACCCGUUUCCUUUCAAAGGUUAGCCAAAAAGUUCCCAUACACACCCAUUAGCGAGCUUCUUCUUUACCAAAAAAAAAAACUAAAAAAAUUAGAUCAUCAUUUUCAAACCACCUUCUAGCUAGAACUGGAAACAAAAAAACAGUACAGACUCUCUCAUCAGCGCUGCCUCUUUCGCCACCCUCGAGUUACUAUCCUGCCCCACGUUGACUCCAGGAACCAUAGCCGCUGCUUCCACAGUACCAUUAACCUGAGGUGUUCAUUACCGGAAUCAUAACCCAAGGCAGGGCAGGAGCCCACUCACAUCGUCCAUGUGCAUCUUCAGCGUGGUCGUUCUACUUUCUUGCCUCUGACCUCUCUGGACUUAGCUUUAUUCAAGCACUAGCCACUCAAAAAAAGAGUGAAGAAGAGGUACGGGAUAUCCAGUGGAGCUAUCUCCAUCAUAAUCACUCAAGGUAUAAAGCUUCUACCUAUUCUCAUGUAGUUGUAAUCUUUUACAUGUGCAUGCUACUGCAAAGGCAAGCUCCCGUUUUUCCUUUAUGUGCUAUGAAGUUAACAUAUAGUGUUGUAAGGUGUGUGGAUCUUUUAAGUCCUAACCUGGUCACGGGUGUUCUUUCACUUGCUACGGGUACUGAAGGGGAUGGGGUGUGAUUUUUCCUUCAAACGCAUAUGGUCUUGAAAACUUGAUUGCAUGUCCUAAGGUCAUGUUAAGACCUUGCCUAGUUAAUUAAGAAUGCUCUUACCCAAGGUUAAAGUUCAAGAACGGUAUGAGAAGGUGGAAAAAGAUGUUGAUAACUAUAGGGGUCAUAGGUUUCCCUUCUUUUUUUUUUUUGUCUUUAGAAAAUAAAAAUACAUAGGACUGUCAAGGAGUUUUUCCAUACCAUGCUUGGGCUUUGGAUGUAUGUUUCCUUGACAUGAGAUGAUUGCUACCUUGCUUUAGAUCCCUUGUUAACGAUGAUGCAUGAACCAGGCAUGGAAAUCUUCAAUGACUAUCGUGCAUGAUUUUUAUGUUCAAAAAGAUCCAGUCCUCUAGCUGUGCAUAAUUAUUGGCCAAGCCGUAAAUAAAAUGAUUUUUGGUUGAAGAAGAAUCGGUAUGUGGAAGGGUUUCUGGUUCAUUUCUUCUUACUGUCCCAUGGCUUUUCGUUAAUGCUAGUACAGCUAUAUUUCUCUUUUCUAAAGUUAAGUAGGUUGAUAUCUAGAAAUAGGUUUAUCACGGGUUUAAGAAUAUCAAAGAAAAGAAAAGAAAAGAAGCUAAAAAAAAAUAAUUUUAAUUAUUUUUCAUGUUUUGAAGAGCGUUUUUGCAAUUAAUUUUUCAUUCUUUACCCUUUUAUAUUUAAAAACAAGUUUAUUAAAGCCACAUGUAUCUGGUCUUAGUUUGAAAAAAUUAAAAAUAUUAAUUUAUUUAUUUUAAUACAAUGAAUUAUGAGUUUAUACGUAAGAUAUAUUCUCAAUAUUAAAAGAAACAAAUGCAAAACAUGUCUUGGCUCUAGAAUAAUCAGGAUUGUCCCAUAAAGCCAUGGUUCUCUCUACUCGGAUAGACCUUUUUUAACCAAUAGACAAAUCAAUGAUUAUAAAAAGAAAACAUUACCUUAGUAAUAAUCAGAAAAUAAACAAUACAACUUAUCUUAGGUAUGAUAACUAGAGUUGAUGAUAAUGUCCAUCUUAUACAUAACUUGUCCCUUGUCCAAACUUUGAAGACUAGUUAUGAUUUUUAGUGAUUAAAAUACAAGAUGACGACUUUAAGUAUUUUUUAUUUAUAAAGGACAAGAAGUCCAUGUUCUUUCCACACCACACCAAAGUCCUGAACUAGGAGGAUGAUCACAAUGAUACCACAUCUGUGCUACAUUCAACAUUGUACUUUUCAUGAGUUAUCCUUUCUAUUUUUCAAUUACUUUGAUCCAAAUAAUGUGUUACCCUCUCAACAUUCUUAAAAGUUAACAUGUACUUUUACUAAUUGAUCUAACUAUGAAUGUGGUGCGAUGUAAAUGAGUAUACAAGAUUAAACGUAUGGAAGAUGGGACUUUUAAGGACUACAAAACAUGUUUGGUGGCCAAUGGCUACUAUCAACAAAAAAGGGUUUGAUUUUCAAGAGACAUUUAGUCUAGUGGGGAAGCCUUGCACUAUUCAGACAAUGCUUGAUAUUAGUGAUACUUGAGGUUGGUCGGCUUAUUAGAUUGAUAUCUAUAUACAUACAUACAUACUACUUUUCUCAAUUUUCUUGAUUCAGAUGUGUUUAUUACCCAGCCUCUUGACUUUACUAAUUAUCAAUUCCCAAACUAUAUUUGCAAACUAAAACAUUUUUUUUUAUGGUUUAAAACAAGCACCUCAUGCAUGGAUUGAUUGCUUAGUGAAUUCUUAGUUUCUCAAUGAAUUUUAUAUUUUCAAAUUUUUAAGUGAAUCCAAGUUAUAUGAUCGUGAUAACUAAAAAAAAAUGAACUAAAUUUAUUUAUAAAAUUAGCAUUGCAUGCUUAGAUUUAAAAUCAGUAAAAAAUCCCAUAGAAAGAUUAGCACCUGAUAAUGACAAGUUAACUCAGGAAACAAAUUAAGGUAACAACAAUGUUUUGAAAUUGAAUUCGACACUAGGUAUACUUAGUACAUAUAAGUUGAAGGACUGCUACCUUGACCAAUGAACUGAAAAUAUCGUUAAUUUAUAAUGAAUGGCAUACACCAUACAGUUUUACCAUAUCAACAGCAUGAAAAUUGAUAAUCGAUCCUUUUGGGAUAUGUCAAUCCCAAAUCUAUUAUUCCAUUUCUUUAUUAAUUAUCAUAAAAACAUUUAUUAAAUGUGUUGUCCUCCAACUCUUUCCAUAAAAAGAAAGAGUUGUGAACCACCACAUACAUUUGAUCAUGGACAAAAGGUAAUCAAAUAGUUGCCUCCACUAGGACAAGUAAACGUGCUCGAUUUAUCAUCAUAAGCAUAACUAUAAGCUUGAGGACACUGCUGCUUGAAAGUCAUCGAAUAUUGGUUAGGUUGACAUUUGUCAGGUGUACUGUACUCUCCUGUGCAGCAGAACUGCGGCUGGUGAAAUUCCAAACACGCGCUCUUGCAGGCAAUCACAGUCCCAUCUGCCCCCUUCACUGCUAAUCUAGGAUCACAAACAGCAUUCACGUUAGCUGCACAGCUUGUAGAAGGGCAGCCAGUAGAACCUCCUUGCGGGGUUACCGAAAUUGGGGUGUUAAAGCCAUCAACAAGGCUUAUAUCGUAAAAAUCUUUCCCACCAUCACCUCUUAGAGUAAAUUCUGCCAAGGAUGCUGGUGGGAUCGCACCGGCUCCAUUGCAUUCUAUGACACCAGAGGCACAGUCAGCAGUAGCACAAACAAACUUUCCGGAGGCAUCUGUAGAGCAUUGAGUUCUGGCCCACAAGCGACCAGACCAUGUUGCAGGGACACUUAGCGAAGAUGAAGCACCUGUUGCCAAUGUGAAGCUAGUUGAAGAUAUAGGCGGACGGCCAGCAGCCGUUAGAGUUCCUGGCCAGACUGUGUAUGGACAGUUGUUUUUGACGACGAAAGUCACAGAUUGAGCUCCUGCAUGCGUGCAAGCUGCGCAAGAUUUAUUUUUGUUGAUAUCAAUAAUUAAAUCUUGGUCCAUUCAAAGAAAAUUUUAAACAGUCAUGGUUCACGAGUAAACUGACUCGAAAAUAUUUUUAUUAUCAAAUAAAAACACGAACUCUUGUUUCAUGCUAAUUUAUGUGAAUCUAUUUUUUUAUUCAUAUAAAAAGAAUAGGACUUGAAUCUAAGACUUGGCCUUCGUUUUCUCUACGGGACUAAACGUCCGUACAUAAUUCAAUAUUUAAAAUCUUGCAUUAAUUCACUUAUUUUUCUUUUAAAAAGAUAACAUAACCCAGGUUUAUUUUUUAAUAUAUUUUUUUCUUUUUUCUUUUUUAUCCGGAAACUCCCUCCUGGAUAUGUUUAUUGGAUUCACGAAAUCCAUUGAAUAAUGAAAAAGUAAUUAAUAUUGCAUAUGCAAACAGAAAAUAUAUAUGCAAGCUGCGCGAUAUUGCAUAUGCACACAGAAAAUAUAUAUGUAAGAGCAAGCAGACUAAUCAAAGUGAAUAAUAUGCACAAUAGAGUUUUGCAUGCAAGAAUCUAAUAUAUGUAAUAUUGUAAAAGUACUUGCCAUAGAGGAAGAUGACGAGGGUGAAGGUAAUUAUAGCAAAGGGCAUACGACUCCCCAUUGCCGAGAUUUGAGGUAAGCAAGAAACACUCUAUGAACCCGUUUGCCUACGUGGUGGCGUCCACGUUUCCAACAGCUAAAUUGUGCAAGCUGUUUGGUUAAGUAACAACUGCUUAUUACUGUACAUGGAACCCAUGCAAUACAGCGUUUGAAACGCAGGAAUAAAGGAAGCAGCUAGGAGCUGCUUCCUGCACGUUGCAAGAAAAGAACCAUGCUUCACUGUUCAGUGAACAGUGGAUGCAUGGCUCCACUGUUCACCGAAUAGUUUUUUUUUUUAAUGAGUGCAGUUAAUUAAUUUCACUCGUACUGAACGUGAACAACAAUUUUUUUUUGUUCUUUUAAAAAAUUAGUUUAAGGUGCAUUACAUUUACUUGUACUAUAAUCUCAAUUUUAUUUCUGAUAAUAUUUUACCUAAUUUUGUAGUUUUUGUCGGAUGAAUUUUGUACGUAAUGGAAUUGUAGAUAGUUUAAUGAAACAAUAUUUUUUUUUUAUAUAUAAAGUAUGAUUUAUUUCACGAUGUAAUAACAAUAGUUAACUCCAUAAUAUUUAAAUUAAAAACCAUCAAUAUUAAUAUAUAUUUUGUAAAAUUAUUUUAUAACCUCAAUUUCAAAAGCACUUUUAACCAACACACAUUAAACUACUUUUUCUUCAACCUCAAUUUCAACCACAGUUUUAACCAAACACCUAUUUUUUCAAAUCAACCUCAACUAAAAGUACUUUUUAUAAAACAACUUUUUUCAAAUCACAACCACAACAGCUACCGCAAUACCAAACACACUUUAUAUUUUAAAAAGACUGUGUUUGCCACUUAUAAAUAGUAGUCAAAUAGAGGAACACGUGGAAAUCAAAAAGAGAGAGAGAAAAAAAAAAGAAGUUUGUCACUGCCAAACCAAGCAACCAUCUGCCACACGGUGUGACAUUUGACAAUGAAUGACCCUACACUUAUUAACCAUUAUUUUAAUAUUAUUUAUAUUUAUUAAAUUAUUAAAUUAAAAAUUGUCAAAGAACUAAUUCAACCUAAAUUGUUAGGUAAGACUCCCAGAUAUGAUUUAUAUUAUUCUCUAACACACCCCUUCAAGUGAAAGCCAUUUGAGUUUGAAACUUGCACAGAUCCACAUUACCUUGUGCUUAAUUUUUAUUAAAUAAAUGAGGAUGAUGAGAUUUGAACUCGUAACCGCUUGGUCAUCAAGGCUCUAAUACCAUGUCAAAGAACCAAUUCAAUCCAAAAGCAGGCGACUGGGAUGAAGAGUCCAUUGUAGAGGGGAGAGAGAGUUUUUUAAUUUAUUUAGGGCUUUGAUAUCAAAUUGAGAAUAAUAUAAUGACUUAAGUUGUGUCUUAGCCAACAUUUCCUAUUUAUAUAUAUGCGGUAGUACACGAUAGUAACUGUAGGAAUCACAAUAUUGGAAUAAUCCUACAUUAAUUCAUAUACAUAUAUAUACGUGCUAUACAUUCUAUAAUAAUCAAGAAUUAUCUGUGCUAAUAAAUAUAAAAGAAACUCGUUAAUAAUAAGUAAAGACUAAACAAGAAAAAUCAAGAGAUAAAUGUAAAACAAAAUAUUUGAUAUCGCAACACGGAGCAUGUACCUAGUUGUGUUUAAUAAUUUUUUUAUUUGAAUAAAUUUGUAUUUAAUCAAAGGAUUAUUUGUGCCAAUAAAAGGAUGUCUACCCAAUACAAUUUUUUAUUUAUUUUGUAUUUCAAAAUAUUAUGAAAUGAGCAUCAUAUGAUUAUAUUUAAUUAAUUAAUUAAUUAAAUUAUAUUAAAUGAAAAAAAUAAAUAUCUAUAAAAAAACAAAAAAAAAAUACUCAAGAUAUCCCGAGUCAUUUUUAAAAUAAGUGAACAAUCCUACAGAAAGAAAAAAAACUUAUAGAGGAUCAUAUUGUAAAAAAAAUCAAAUUAAAAAUUAUUUCAAAUAAAAAAAUAGCAAUUAAAAAAACAUGGACAAAAUUUGAAAAAUGAAAUAACAGAAGGGGAAUGAAAUUGUCAAGGAAUUCCAAUUUUAUAAAUUAUUUCAAACAAAACAAACAAUAAUCAAAAGAAUAGGGACCAAAUCCAAAAGAAUAACAAAUUGAAGGCGUGCUUUGAAAUUUUGAAGGGGCACACGCGAAAAUCAAGUAGAAAGAAAGAAGAAAAAGAAAAAGAAAAGGUUGUCGGCACUAAACCGAACAACUAUCUAUCACACGCACUGCCUCAUCCACGACGGUCUUUGGUCAACGAACGACCCUACACCUGCCACCUGAAGUGCACGGAGACCACCCAUGCACUGACCUGUACUCAUCAACUAUUUUUUUAAUAUUAUUUAUAUUUAUUAAAUUACAAAAUUGGAAAUAAACCACCAUGAUAAAAAAUAAAAAAAAAACCCAAUGAAAUAUACAAAUGCCCUUGGUUUCAACCUUAAGCGACUAAUUAACUAGAUAUCUCAAUUAAUGAGAAAGCAGAAUAGUAAACAGGAAAUUAGAGGAACGCCCUGCUUCUCACGUCAAAUGAAAGCAACACCCAAUUGAGUAACGAAUGUAACUCUGGUCCCUUGGUUUGAACCACAAGUGACUAACUAGCAGACUAGUCAACAGCCUAUUAGAGGAAUUGAAUGAAAGCAAUUGAAUGCAGGAAGAGGGCCAGGCUAGUAAACAGCCAACAGUGGCAGUUCUCCUCCAGCAUGUGCAACUGAGGAGCCGUGACGAAGGCGACACUCUUCAAAAUAAAUCUUGAAUCGAUUGACUGAUGCUCUUUUCUUUUUUGUCGGUGUAUAAAUUAGUGGUUAGCUAAUUAAUUAUGUCCCACGGGCUAUCGAUACCAUCCAUUACCAGGUUCCAUGAAAAAAAUAAAAAAAUAAAACAAGGGAUUGAUUAGUAGAGCGUUUACGUUUUCACUCUUCAAAAUUAUCACACCGUGAUGAGUGCGAGACUCUUCAAAGCCAAUUGUCGAAUGAAUGUAACUCUGGAAUUAUUCCAAAUCCACAAGUUUGAUAGUGUUGUGUUGAUUGUGAGACAUUAUUUUAAAAACUGAAGGGGAAAAAUUGUUAAAGAAUUCUAAUUUUAUAAAUUAUUCUAAAUAAAACAAGUAAUAAUCAGAAGAAUACGAAUAAAUAACAAAUUGAAAGCGUGUUUUAAAAUUUUAAUGCCAAUAAUACGUGGUCUACCCAAUACAAUUUAUUUAUUUAUUUUGUAUUUCAAAAUGUUAUGAAAUCAGCAUCACAUGCAUAUAUUUAAUUAAUUAAUUAAAUUAAAUUAAAUGAAAAACAUUUCUACAAAAAAGAGAAAUUAAAAAAAAACAACAACAAAUAAAAAUACUCGAGAUAUCCAAUUAAAUAAAUGUUAAAGGAUGAAACUGAAAUAAACAUGAUCUUAAAAAAAGAAAAAAAAACCAAUCAAACUUGGGCAAACCUCCUAAACUUGGGUUAAUCUCUAAAACUUGCAACUCAUGAAAUCCUAGACUCGAGCUUGGUUAAGAAGCACAAUUCUCAACUAAUUUAAUGUUGAAUAAUGAAAACAAGAAAAAAAUCAUUAUAAAAAAAAUGUCAAAGUGAAAAAACAUAGCAAUCAAAAGAAUGAGGAUUAAAUCUGAUAGGAAAAAAAAAUUAUGAAGGAUGAUAUUGUAAAAAAAAUCAAAUUGAAAAAUUAUCUUAAAUAAAAAAAUAACAAUCAAAAGAAUAGGUACAAAAUUUGAAAGAUAAAAAAACUGAAAGGGGAUGAAAUUGUCAAAGAAUUCCAAUUUAAUAAAUUAUUCCAAACAAAAUAAACAAUGAUAAAAAAAACAUCACCAAAUCCAAAGGAAUAACAAAUUGAAGGCGUGUUUUGAAAUUUUGAAGGGACACCUGUGAAAAUCAAGGAGGGAGAAAAGAAAAAGAGAAAGAAAAGGUUGUCUGCACCAAACCAAACAACCAAUUCACUUGGUCUUACCAAACAGUUGACCGGAUCAACUUAAAUACUAGAUUUUGAGUGAAGUGUUUAAGUUCAUGUUAAUUGUGCUGUUAAGCUAAGAUCUACAUAAUCACUGAAAUGAACAAUUAAUUCUUAAUGGCUAAUGAAUGUAACUCCGGUCCCUUGUUUGAACCACAAGUGACUAACUAGAUAUCUCAAUUAAUAAGAAAGCAGACUACUAAAUAGCCAACAGUGGCAGUUCUCCUCCAGCACCAGCAACAGACGAGCCGUGACGAAUGCAACACUCUUCAAAAUUAUCACAAUGGGAGACUCUUUAAAAUUGAAAGAAAAAAAUAAUAAAUUCACCAUCUAAUAAUUAAAAAAUAGAAAUAAAAAAAUAAACAUUGGUUAGAGAUUUAGACAUUGAGUUAGUUAAGUCGAAGGAAGAUCGAUGUUACCCUUACUGCAUCCUUUGAAAUGAAAGGUUACCUCCACAAUGCAUUUUAAAAAAUUUAUUCCAUGCAUGAUAUUAAUUAUCUAAAUUUAUUUCUAAUCUUAUUUGUGAUUUAUUUUAAUAAAAAAUUGGUGUCGGUCCCUAAAAAAAGAAGACUCGUCGAUAAAGAAAAAUCUUGAUGUCAAUCCCUAAAAAUAGAUAAUUUCAUCGAUUUAGAAAAAAAAAUAAUUUUAAUCUCUAAAACUAGAGAUUUCAUUGGUUUAAAAAAUUUUGACGUUAAUCUUUAAAAACAGGAGAUUUCAUCAAUUUAGAAAAAAAAAUUGGCAUUAAUCUUUAAAAAUAUGUGUUUUCAUCGAUUUAGGAAAAAUUGGACAUCAGUCCCUAAAAUAGAUAAUUUCAUCAAUUUUUAAAAAAUAUGAUAUUAAUCCUUAAAAAUAGGAGAUUUCAUUGAUUUAGAAAAAAAAAUUAACAUUUAUAUUUUUUUGAAUCCAAUACAAUAUAUACAUAUCUCAAUAUUGAUAUAGCGUGCACGCGCGCUCACACACGCUCGCGCACACAACAUAUAUAUAUAUAUAUAUAUAUAUAUAUAUAUAUAUAUAUAUAGUAUUAUUAAUUUUAUCAUUUAAUACAUGUAUACAUAUUUCAAAUAUAUCUAUUACUAUUUUAUUUUUUUGUUGAAUAUUAAAUAACAGUAGAACAAUGGAUACCAAUAUAGAUAUACUCGAAAUCCAAUGAAUAAAGUAUGAAUAUAUGAAUUUUUUACUCGAUGAAUACUUGGCAGGGUAUAAAUAUAAAAAAUACUAUCCCGUAGAUAUCCAUUGUGAUCCCUAUACAUAAUUUCAAUAUAUAAAAUCAAUGCAUUAAUACAUUUAUUUUUCUUUUACAAUGAUAAAAUGAUGAUAAAUAUAGAAUAUUCAUAUGUUUUUAUUCCUUUUACAUUAUGCUUUUAAUGUGUUUUAAGCUUAUUUGAGCUCAUUGAAAGUAAUUUUAUGAGUUUAGCAUGCCUAAGAGACUUGGUGAAUUAAUUGCUAAAAGAUAAGAAAUUCUGCAUUUGAUGUUUUGAACCUUGGUUUUUCUGACAGGUUUUUCACCAAGUUGGAGUUAUAGAAUGGAAAGGUGGCUUAAUAAAGGUUAAACUGCACAUAUCCAGCUUUUUAAGAAGGUAUUAUGGAAAUAAAUCCGAUCUCAUUUGAAGCUCUAAUAAGACCUGCAAACCGGGAGGAAAGAAAACAAGGGUCCCCUCUGCUACUGCUGUUGGCUUGCAUUUUCUCCCGGUUGCUGGAGUUGUUGAUGACGUUGCUGCUAAUCUUGACUGCAACCAACGUUUGGGAUGGAGCUCAAAAUUGGAGGCAACGCUAUUGAUGGCUGAGGAUGGAGUCCUACUGUUGUCAACAUGAACUAGCUUGGCUGCCGUAUUUCUCAUAAAAGGGAGGCAACCAUGAGGGACAGGGAUGAUGCUGUUGUUGUGGCGUAGAGAAGAAGUUCGUGCUGGACUGGGGGGGAAGAGGAGACGAAGGCCUCUCCUGUAACACCGAACAAAAGCUUAUAUGGUGGCUUUUGGAGGUUGAAGGGGGUCCUUUAUUCUGCUAGGUCUGUGAGAUGAGGGAGAUGAAAGGUGGUCUUUUCUUUUUGUGUUCUGCUCAGUCUAGGUUACGGGGAUGAACUGAGGGGGAAAAGGGAUAAGUUGAGAGCCAUUUCUGGAGGCCGGGGAAGAAGAAAAGGAAAGGGCUGAGGGGGGGUAGUAUAGGGUUUGUCACCCCCUCUUCUCUUAUUUUUUUUAUGUUUCUCUCUUAUAGGGUUUCUGAUUAUGGCCUCCCUCUAGGGUUUCUAGUAAUUGUAUCCCCCUUUUUUGCAUGCACUAAGAUCUAUAUUUAUAGUG
rnacentral:lncRNA from 1 species